GCGCCCAUAGCUCAGCUGGAUAGAGCAACGGACUUCUAAUCCGUAGGUCGCAGGUUCGAAUCCUGCUGGGCGUA
rnacentral:tRNA from 1 species